CCUACGGGAGGCUGCAGUGGGGAAUAUUGCACAAUGGGCGCAAGCCUGAUGCAGCCAUGCCGCGUGUGUGAAGAAGGCCUUCGGGUUGUAAAGCACUUUCAGCGGGGAGGAAGGCGGUGAGGUUAAUAACCUCAUUGAUUGACGUUACCCGCAGAAGAAGCACCGGCUAACUCCGUGCCAGCAGCCGCGGUAAUACGGAGGGUGCAAGCGUUAAUCGGAAUUACUGGGCGUAAAGCGCACGCAGGCGGUUUGUCAAGUCGGAUGUGAAAUCCCCGGGCUCAACCUGGGAACUGCAUUCGAAACUGGCAGGCUAGAGUCUUGUAGAGGGGGGUAGAAUUCCAGGUGUAGCGGUGAAAUGCGUAGAGAUCUGGAGGAAUACCGGUGGCGAAGGCGGCCCCCUGGACAAAGACUGACGCUCAGGCGCGAAAGCGUGGGGAGCAAACAGGAUUAGAUACCCGGGUAGUC
rnacentral:rRNA from 1 species